rnacentral:rRNA from 1 species
GGGAACGUGCCCUUCGGUUCGGAAUAACUCAGGGAAACUUGAGCUAAUACCGGAUACGCCCUUUUGGGGAAAGGCUUGACUGCCGAAGGAUCGGCCCGCGUCUGAUUAGCUGGUUGGUGAGGUUAUGGCUCACCAAGGCGACGAUCAGUAGCUGGUCUGAGAGGAUGAUCAGCCACACUGGGACUGAGACACGGCCCAGACUCCUACGGGAGGCAGCAGUGGGGAAUAUUGGACAAUGGGGGCAACCCUGAUCCAGCCAUGCCGCGUGAGUGAUGACGGCCUUAGGGUUGUAAAGCUCUUUUCUCCGGGACGAUAAUGACGGUACCGGAGGAAUAAGCCCCGGCUAACUUCGUGCCAGCAGCCGCGGUAAUACGAAGGGGGCUAGCGUUGCUCGGAAUCACUGGGCGUAAAGGGCGCGUAGGCGGCUGAUUUAGUCGAGGGUGAAAGCCCGUGGCUCAACCACGGAAUGGCCUUCGAUACUGGUUGGCUUGAGACCGGAAGAGGACAGCGGAACUGCGAGU